rnacentral:rRNA from 1 species
ACGCCGCGUGCGGCGAAGCUUCGGGUGUAACCGCUUUCUUCUGGGAGAGGCAGGACGGUACCAGAGGAAGAAGCAUCGGCUAACUACGUGC